rnacentral:rRNA from 1 species
UACGUAGGGCGCAAGCGUUGUCCGGAAUUAUUGGGCGUAAAGAGCUCGUAGGCGGCUUGUCACGUCGGGUGUGAAAGCCCGGGGCUUAACCCCGGGUCUGCAUCCGAUACGGGCAGGCUAGAGUGUGGUAGGGGAGAUCGGAAUUCCUGGUGUAGCGGUGAAAUGCGCAGAUAUCAGGAGGAACACCGGUGGCGAAGGCGGGUCUCUGGGCAACAACUGACGCUGAGGAGCGAAAGCGUGGGGAGCGAACAGG